rnacentral:rRNA from 1 species
AUUAUUGCUUUUUGGGAUCGCUAGCCUGCGAGUCGAGAGGGUUCGGCCCUCGGCUGACGGCUCAGUAACACGUGGAUAAUCUGCCCUAAGGUGGAGGAUAACCUCGGGAAACUGAGAAUAAUACUCCAUAGGUCUAGGAUGCUGGAAUGCACUUAGGCUGAAAACUUCGGUGCCUUAGGAUGAGUCUGCGGACUAUCAGGUUGUAGUCAGGGUAAAGACCUGACUAGCCUACGACGGAUACGGGUUGUGAGAGCAAUAACCCGGAGAUGAUAUCUGAGACACGAUAUCAGGCCCUACGGGGCGCAGCAGGCGCGAAAACUUCGCACUGCGCGAAAGCGCGACGAGGGAAUCCCAAGUGUAUGCACGUAAGUGUAUACUGUUUUUCUGUCUAAAAAGCAGAGAGAGUAAGAGCUGGGUAAGACGGGUGCCAGCCGCCGCGGUAAUACCUGCAGCUCGAGUGGUGAUCGUUAUUAUUGGGCCUAAAACGUCCGUAGCCGGUCUUGUAAAUGCCUGGGUAAAUCGUAUGGCUUAACCAUACGAAUUCUGGGUAGACUGUUAGACUUGAGACCGGGAGAAGCUAGAGGUACUCCUGGGGUAGAGGUGAAAUUCUGUAAUCCUAGGGGGACCACCAGUGGCGAAGGCGUCUAGCCAGAACGGGUCUGACGGUGAGGGACGAAGCCCUGGGGAGCAAACGGGAUUAGAUACCCCCGGUAGUCCAGGGUGUAAACGCUGCUCGCUUGAUGUUAGUCGGGCUCCGAGCCCAACUAGUGUCGGAGAGAAGUUGUUAAGCGAGCUGCCUGGGGAGUACGGUCGCAAGACCGAAACUUAAGG